ensembl:miRNA
GUUUAGUGGUACUAUACCUCAGUUUUAUCAGGUGUUCUUAAAAUCACCUGGAAAUACUGAGGUUGUGUCUCACUGAAC